UAACUCUUCCCGAGUCCCGAGUCCCGAGUCUGGACUCAGUUCCAAACUCGUUCCUUUCUUCAUUCCUUCGAUUCUUCUAUUAUUAUACUGUUCUUUCUUCUUUCCCCCAAACCCUAAUCUUGAAAAUUCCUAAUUUGGGGUUUUAGGGUUUACCUACAAAAUCAAAUAGAUAUUCGCAAUGGACGAGGAUCAAGAGAUGGAGAAAUUCGGCAUGGACAACGAUUUCGAAGAUGCUCAAUGGAUUGGGGGCGAAUUCUACUACCGAAAGCGCAAAGAAAAACCUACUCAGACCAAAGACGAUGCUCUUUACGGUGUCUUUGCCGAUGACGACGACGAUGAUGAUGAUUAUCCAAGAAAGCAGCGUCGAGGUAAGGAUCGUAAUCAGUCUAAUAAUCUCUCAAAGCCUGUGAAUUUCGUAUCCACUGGUACAGUUAUGCCUACCCAAGAGAUUGAGAAUAACUCUAAAGAAGCUAUUGAUACUGAUAAUAAUAAUCAUGAAGAUAGUAUUGCUCCAAGAGCCGGUCUUGGUCUGGGUUUUGGGUCUUCUAAUGUUGAAGGAGUUGAUAAGGAGGAUGAAGGUGAGAGCUUUUUACCCACUGCUUUUGGGAGGAAGAUAAUGGAAGGUGCUCAGAGGAGAGAGAAAGAAAGACAACAACAGAAGAGGCUUAAGUUGCUUCAACAGAAUGAUAGUAAUUCUCAACAACAAUUUCACCAGAGUGGUAAACGCCAAUCUGAUGGUGUUGGGAAUGUUGGGGUUUUUGAGAAACAUACUAAAGGUAUUGGGAUGAAGUUACUUGAGAAGAUGGGGUAUAAAGGAGGUGGUCUUGGGAAGAAUGAGCAAGGUAUUGUUGCACCAAUUGAAGCUAAAUUGAGGCCUAAGAAUAUGGGAAUGGGAUAUAAUGAUUACAAGGAGGCUGAGAAAGUUCCAACUUUAGAGGAAUUGACUAAGCCUAAGCCUAUGGCUGUUGUGUCUUUGGGUUCUUCAACUCAACCCUCUAAGGAAAAGCUUUGGUCGAAACGGGCUUUAGCUAAACAAAAGAAGAAUAUUGAUUACAUUACAGCUGAGGAAUUGCUUGCUAAAAAGCAGGAGCAGCAAGGUGGUGGUGAGGUUGUUGUUCAGAGGGUGUUGGAUAUGCGUGGUCCUCAGGUUCGUGUUGUGACGAAUUUAGAGAAUUUGAAUGCUGAAGAACGAUCUAAGGAAGAGGAUAUUCCCAUGCCUGAGCUUCAGCAUAAUGUGAGGUUGAUAGUGGAUUUAACUGAGGUUGAUAUUCAGAAGAUUGAUAGGGAUUUGAGGAUGGAGAGGGAUACAGCAAUGGCUUUGAAAGAUGAGAAGGAAAGAUUAGAAGUUGAGGCUGCAAGACAGAAGAAACAAUUAGAUAGCAUGGAGGAGAUCAUGGGUGUGUUGGACAGAAUUGGAGAAGAGAAUUCUAUGGGAAUCUUAACUCUGGAUUCACUUGCAAAGUGCUUUAGUGAUUUACAAAGAAGAUACGCUGAAGAGUAUAAGCUGUGUAAUUUGUCGUCUAUUGCUUGCUCGUUUGCUUUGCCUUUGUUUAUCAGGGUGUUUCAAGGUUGGGACCCUCUUCGGAACCCGUCUCAUGGUUUAGAGAUGGUAUCUGCUUGGAAGGCUUUGCUUCAAGGAGCAGAAUCAUUGGAUAUAUGGGACUCGGCUUCUCCAUAUUCUCAGCUGAUUUUUGAGGUUGUGGUGCCCGCAGUGAGAAUCUCCGCCGUCAAUACUUGGCAAGCUAGGCACCCUGAACCAAUGCUUGGAUUUAUUGACUCUUGGGAGAAGCUGUUGCCUUCAUCAGUUCUAGAUACCAUAUUGGAUGAUGUAGUUAUGCCGAAAUUAAGGAGCGCUGUGGACUCAUGGGAGCCACACCGGGAGACUGUUUGUAUCCAUGUCUGGGUGCAUCCAUGGCUGCCACUGUUGGGACACAAGUUGGAGGAUGUUUAUCAAACAAUACGCUCCAAAUUGAGUAAUGUUCUUGGUGCUUGGCAUCCUAGUGAUGGUUCUGCUUUUAUUUUACUAUCACCUUGGAAAUUUGUUUUUGAUUCAAUCAGUUGGGAACAAAUGAUGCGUAGAUUCAUAGUUCCCAAAUUACAGCUUAUCCUACAAGAGUUCCAGGUGAACCCUGCUAAUCAAAAGCAGCUUGAUCAGUUUGAUUGGGUCAUAAAGUGGGCUUCUGUUAUACCUAUUCAUCUUAUGGUUGAUAUGCUGGAGAAGUUUUUCUUUCCACAGUGGCUACAGGUUUUGUAUCAUUGGCUUUGUUCAAACCCGAACUUUGAAGAGGUUACAAAGUGGUUUUUGGGUUGGAAAGAACUUAUUCCCAAGGAGCUUUUAUCUAAUGAGAAUAUUCGGUCUCAGAUUAACUGUGGUCUAGAUAUGAUGAAUAGGGCUGUUGAAGGUAUGGAAGUAGUCCAACCAGGUUUAAAGGAAAAUCUAAGCUAUCUCCGAGCUCUCGAGCAAAGACAGUUUGAAGCUCAGCAAAAAGCUGCUGCACAACAAGCUGCUGCUGCUGCAAGCUUUGGUGGCACAAGUAGUAUGGAUGGCCCUGAGUUGAGCAUGAAAGAAGUUGUUGAGGCCUAUGCACAACAACAGGGCUUACUUUUUAAACCAAAACAUGGAAGAAUGCACAAUGGUCACCAAAUAUUUGGCUUUGGGAAUGUAAGUAUUAUAGUGGACUCUCUAAAUCAAAGAUUAUAUGCUCAAACUGAGGAAGCUUGGUCUUUGGUAUCUCUUGAACAAUUGAUGGCUCUGCACAACAAUUUUCAUUCGAAAAGACGCUGAGUUAUAUAUUUUGCUUAAAGAUUUUCUUACGGUGGGGGAUUCGGUCUUCUGUUGGAAUCUUCACAUAAGAAGUUCGAAAAUGUGGCUCGAUAUACAGGAGGACCUGUAAGAAAACUUAGCCCUCAAUUUCCACUGCCCCAACAAAUGUAUAGGCUUCGUCCUGUCAUCGCGGUUCAAGAGAAGUUUUCUCCUCCUCUUCGGUCGCUGCUAUUCUCGCUCAUCAUGCAGGGCUACUAAACUUGUGAGUUCAUAAAAUUCUAUUAAAAAUAUGAACACCAUGAAAAACCUCACUGUAAAAUUGUAUUAUGUAGGCUGUUACAUGCAGAUUUUGCACUUGUAAAACAUUUAUUUGGCUUCUACAUUCAUAUAAUAGAAAAAUAUAUGGAUGAGAAUGAGAUAAUUGCUUUUCUUUUUCUUUUUUUUUUUUGUUCACUAUUCCAAUCCCAACUAAAUUAUCCAUUGGCUUUUCUCAUCUUCAUUAUUGUUCCUGAAUUUCAUUUUGGGCAUUAUUUUAUAGAAAUGCUAUGGGAGAAGAUGGAUUAAAGAUGAGUAUGGAUGGAUUAUUGUACAAUUUAAUGCUUUAUUUGGCUUUGAAUCACCAAAUUCAUUGUGGAUAUGAUACUAUACUAGAAUUUAAGAUCAUUCAACCACAUAAAAAAGAAAGAAAGAAAGAAAAAAGAGUUUGAUAUGUGCAGCUAAUAUAAUUCAUUCUAUGAUGUAAAUGUAAAUAAGCCUUUGGUGGACAAUUGACAUGUCAUAAAAUAAUACAAUUCAAUCUCUA